ensembl:miRNA
UAUUAUGUUGGUGCAAAAGUAAUUGCGGUUUUUGCCAUUACUUUUAAUGCAAAACUGCAAUUACUUUUGCACCUACCUAAUA